GUGGCUGUAGCUCAGGGGCAGAGCAUCGGAUUGUGGCUCCGAAUGUCGUGGGUUCAAAUCCCAUCAGCCACCCCA
rnacentral:tRNA from 1 species